GGCGCUCACCAACUGUUCAACCGUUCACGUCAUGUUCACCGUUCUGAGCACGUUCUAAUGCAUGAUAGACGAUAGUCGAUGCGAUAGAACUUUCGUACUUUUGUCAUUGCUCCGUUGUGGUCGCCGAUCUGGUGGUCGUGCGAGUCGAGUUACCUAUUAACCUAGUGGCUGUGAAUCUUUGUAACUUCGCCAAUAUUCACCAUUUCCCUGACUCGCAAGUACCGGUGGUCUGUAAAUUGACGUCAGCGUCCCGAAGAUCUAUAAUUAAUCAUUGCUCAUAACCUCUGCAAAGAAGAGCUUUCGGAGAGAACUAUAGGAUAAGAAUGCCUCACAUUGACCAUUCAACAUUGUCCUCAUAAACGUGUAGCUAUGGCUAUAUUAUAUAUACCUAACUAAAACAUAUAUAAAAAUAUAAAAUUUUAGUUAUAUUUUUUUCUACAUGUCAUGUAAAACACAUUGAGUUAUAUAGGUGUCUGAGAAAAAAAAUUGUUUAACAUAUGUCUUAAGGAAACAAAUGUAAUUUUCUAGAGCAAAUUUUUAAGUUGUAUAAAAUUAUUACAUAAUUAUUAAAAAAAAAUAUUUUUGUAAUGAAGUCAAUGUUGGACAGUUUACACUAUAGUGAUUGCCUGACACAUCAAAGGACCACAUCUGUAUUUUUUUUUUAAGAGCCAUCCCAUACUUUGUUGUAAUUAAUUGCCAUGUUAUCAUAAUCUCACUUUCCAUCAAUUUAUUUUUGUAAAGCAUUUAUAAUUUUCAAAUUGAAUAAAUAAAUAUGAUGUUGAGUUAGA